rnacentral:rRNA from 1 species
GACGUAGGGGGCAAGCGUUGUCCGGAAUCAUUGGGCGUAAAGAGCGUGUAGGCGGCCCGAUAAGUCCGCUGUGAAAGUCCAGGGCUCAACCCUGGAAUGCCGGUGGAUACUGUCGGGCUCGAGUUCGGAAGAGGUGAGUGGAAUUCCUGGUGUAGCGGUGAAAUGCGCAGAUAUCAGGAGGAACACCAGUAGCGAAGGCGGCUCGCUGGGCCACACCUGACGCUGAGACGCGAAAGCUAGGGGAGCGAACAGG